CUGAACCAGCCAAGUAGCGUGAAGGAUGUCUGCCCUAUGGGUUGUAAACUUCUUUUAUAAAGGAAUAAAGUCGGGUAUGGAUACCCGUUUGCAUGUACUUUAUGAAUAAGGAUCGGCUAACUCCGUGCCAGCAGCCGCGGUAAUACGGAGGAUCCGAGCGUUAUCCGGAUUUAUUGGGUUUAAAGGGAGCGUAGAUGGAUGUUUAAGUCAGUUGUGAAAGUUUGCGG
rnacentral:rRNA from 1 species